rnacentral:rRNA from 1 species
GACGAACGCUGGCGGCGUGCUUAACACAUGCAAGUCGAACGGAAAGGCCCUGCUUUUGUGGGGUGCUCGAGUGGCGAACGGGUGAGUAACACGUGAGUAACCUGCCCUUGACUUUGGGAUAACUUCAGGAAACUGGGGCUAAUACCGGAUAGGAGCUCCUGCUGCAUGGUGGGGGUUGGAAAGUUUGGGCGGUUGGGGAUGGACUCGCGGCUUAUCAGCUUGUUGGUGGGGUAGUGGCUUACGAAGGCUUUGACGGGUAGCCGGCCUGAGAGGGUGACCGGCCACAUUGGGACUGAGAUACGGCCCAGACUCCUACGGGAGGCAGCAGUGGGGAAUAUUGCACAAUGGGCGGAAGCCUGAUGCAGCAACGCCGCGUGCGGGAUGACGGCCUUCGGGUUGUAAACCGCUUUCGCCUGUGACGAAGCGUGAGUGACGGUAAUGGGUAAAGAAGCACCGGCUAACUACGUG